rnacentral:ncRNA from 1 species
UUAAACAUGAUGAUUAGGAAAAGUAGGUUAAGUGAAGCAUAACAGAGAGGAACUACUAUGCUGAAAGAGUUCUAUGAUAAAUCUUAGUUGAAGUGCCCCUAGGAGUGUUAAGCCGAAGUUAGUAGGCGGUUACGUUUGUCCGCGUUAUAGGAAUAGGAUCUGUUAGGAUCUGAUAGAGAUUAUUUAGGAUUUUCCUAAUAUAAAUCAGAGUGGAACCGCGGAAGUAUUGACUUCUGCCUCUGUA